AGAACUGAAGAAGUACCGAAAAACUCUACCACUCUGCUUGAAUUUUCUGCUUCAUGUUAAAUCUAUUAGAAUAUCCAUGGAGAAAUUCGAUCGGGUUGCAGAUUCUCACACGAAAAUUUUGACGCGCCAAUCCGAUUUCUCAGCCACGGGGGCGACGCCGGGGACGAAGACGGCGGUUCCGUUUCAAGAAACUCGGAUUCAGUCACUUUCUGACGCGAAUUCAGGGCCUCCGGCGGGGGAACUGGGAGGAGAAGACUUGCAGCCGCCUCCUCCGGAAUCGGAAAUCGCGGAGGAGGAGCUGCGGUUGGAGUUGAUGUCGCAGAAGCGAGAGUGUUAUGUGGCUAAACAGCCGUAUCUGGAGGCAGCUACGGCGGCAGGGGAGGAUAAGACUCAGCCGUAUGACGUUACGCCGCCGCCGCAGAAGUCGCCGAUUCGUCGGACGGAUCAACAUGUGCAGAGGAAUUCAUCGGUGAAGUGCAAGCAAGAGUUCUCGGCCCCGCAAGGGAAGCCGGAAAUCGAAUCCAAGGAUGUUACCCCGAAGAAACAGAAGCAUUGCAGUUGUAAAAAUUCAAAGUGCUUGAAGCUGUACUGUGAGUGCUUUGCUUCUGGAACUUAUUGUAAUGGUUGUAAUUGCUUGAAUUGUCACAACAAUUUGGAUAACGAGGCUGCAAGGCAAGAAGCUGUCGGGGUUAUCUUGGAACGCAAUCCGAGGGCGUUCAAGCCCAAGAUUGCUGGUAGUCCUCAUGGAAUAAAAGAUUCUCAGGAUGAUGAGCACAAAGCCCAUAUCCUGGGGAAGCACAACAAAGGAUGCAAUUGCAAGAAAUCGAGAUGCCUCAAGAAGUACUGUGAGUGUUACCAGGCAGAUAUUCUAUGUUCUGAAAAUUGUACAUGUCAAGAUUGCAAGAAUUUCGAAGGAAGCGAAGAAAGAACUGCUCUUCUUCAUGGAUAUCAGAACUCGGUAUCGUUCAUCAAGCAGGCAGCCAAUGAAGCCAUCAAUGGCGCUGUUGGCUUUUCAGGUUUUAUGAAUACCACUGAAUCAAGAAAGAGAAAAAGCGAGGAAGUUCCCCACAUUGUGCAGUAUCAGCAGGGAAAUCACUUCCCAAGAAAUGGACCGACUCCUCUAUUUCCGGUCCCCAACAAUAGGGUGGUAUCGGUAUCUCCCAAAAGCACUUACAGGUCUCCCCUCGCAGAUGCUAUCCAGCCACAUCAUGUGAAAGAAUUAUGCUCGAUUUUGGUGUCUGUAUCCAUGGAUGUACCAAACAAUUUUUCAGGCGGGAGUCGUGAAACUGACAAGAGAAUAGAGAAAGACAGCAUGAAACAUUACAGAUACGCCUCUCCAGACAUUGCCAUUGAUGUUCUUCGGGGUGAGGAUCAAGCAGCUACUAAGGGCGACGGCUCUGUACCAUAUCAACCUGAUACAGGGGACGAGAGGCAUUUAUCUCCAGCAACACGGGCAUUGAUGUGCGAUGAAGAUCGUAUGAUCAUAUCAAAGAAAGUAGCAGAGGCCCGAGUGACAGAAACCGAGGAAAAGCAAGAAGCAAAGGCAAAUUAUCGGGAUAGCGAGUUCUCGGGGGUUUAUGCAGAGAAAGAAAGGCACGUGUUGGCGAACUUCCGGGACUUUCUUGCUCGGCUCAUAACAUACGGAAGUAUAAAAGAAAAAAUGUCCUGUACGUUGGCCAGAUGCGAAAGAAGAAGCAAAUAUCACAUGAAGAUUGAAACCGCCAUGGAUCUGAGUUCAAAAGAACCGGAAGAUGGGAAACAAAGCCAUGAAAACGCCGUCGUUUAAGCAAAUCCAAGUUCGGGUAAAUGUAUCAAAAUCUCUCCAACUCUUCCUUAAUAUCUAACUGUCACCAAGAUAAAAGAGAAAAUAAACUCCAAGAUCACAGGAACACAUUCCUCAAUGAGUUCGAAGUAGAUUAGAUUUGUCUGAAGAAUAAGAUUUUAUGGGCAACUCAAGAAUUUCCAGCAAAAGGACCAAAGCCAUACAUGAUCAGUGAUCACACAUCCGUAACUCAGUACAGAGUGAUGAAUGCCUGCGGCGGCCUAGUACAGAUCUCGCGAUCAAGAAAAAGGCAACCGAGUCCCGUGAGGAGGCGAACCACAACACAGUUGGAUGCUCAGCUCCGAGAGCGAUGGGUUCCGCCUUCGAAGGGCUGCAAGUGCAAUCAAUCUCCCUGAAAAUCGCGGCAUGAUCCGCAAAGUUCCGAGCAUGCAGUCUACUGUUUCGCUCUCUCCCGAUUGUGUAUGUUGCAUCCCUGUCCGCAUUUCAAUGCCUGCAGAACCCGCGGCCAAGAGAAAUCAUGUAGCUGGACCGAGAGUUUGGUCAUCGCCCAGUUCAAUGUGAGUGCCGAUACAGGGCAGGCGUAGAAAACACGGCCCCUCGUCUCGGGGCCGGAGUUACAGAGCAGGCAGCGCGGGUCGAUUUGAAUCCCCCAGGACAACAACCUGUCUUUGGUCGGACAUAUAUUGCUCUCAAACAUCAUUCACGAGAAUUAAGGGCGUAAAACGAGCCCGUAUCUUGCAUUGUCUCGCCAGGCGCCCCAUAUUUCUCCGAGUCGUGCUCAGAAUAUUUGAAUAAGAAAAAAAACAGAACGAACGAAUUAGCUCGCGGCGAGUC